AUUGAACGCUGGCGGCAGGCCUAACACAUGCAAGUCGAGCGGAUGAAGGGAGCUUGCUCCUGAAUUCAGCGGCGGACGGGUGAGUAAUGCCUAGGAAUCUGCCUGGUAGUGGGGGAUAACGUCCGGAAACGGGCGCUAAUACCGCAUACGUCCUGAGGGAGAAAGUGGGGGAUCUUCGGACCUCACGCUAUCAGAUGAGCCUAGGUCGGAUUAGCUAGUUGGUGGGGUAAAGGCCUACCAAGGCGACGAUCCGUAACUGGUCUGAGAGGAUGAUCAGUCACACUGGAACUGAGACACGGUCCAGACUCCUACGGGAGGCGGCAGUGGGGAAUAUUGGACAAUGGGCGAAAGCCUGAUCCAGCCAUGCCGCGUGUGUGAAGAAGGUCUUCGGAUUGUAAAGCACUUUAAGUUGGGAGGAAGGGCAGUAAGUUAAUACCUUGCUGUUUUGACGUUACCAACAGAAUAAGCACCGGCUAACUUCGUG
rnacentral:rRNA from 1 species